rnacentral:rRNA from 1 species
CCUACGGGUGGCAGCAGUGAGGAAUAUUGGUCAAUGGGCGUAAGCCUGAACCAGCCAAGUCGCGUGAGGGAUGAAGGUUCUAUGGAUCGUAAACCUCUUUUAUAAGGGAAUAAAGUGCGGGACGUGUCCCGUUUUGUAUGUACCUUAUGAAUAAGGAUCGGCUAACUCCGUGCCAGCAGCCGCGGUAAUACGGAGGAUCCGAGCGUUAUCCGGAUUUAUUGGGUUUAAAGGGUGCGUAGGCGGCCUUUUAAGUCAGCGGUGAAAGUCUGUGGCUCAACCCCAUCCAGCCGUUGAAACUGGGGAUCUAGAGUGUGCGAGAGGUAUGCGGAAUGCGUGGUGUAGCGGUGAAAUACAUAGAUAUCACGCAGAACCCCGAUUGCGAAGGCAGCAUACCGGUGCACAACUGACGCUCAGGCACGAAAGCGUGGGUAUCGAACAGGAUUAGAUACCCUUGUAGUC